rnacentral:rRNA from 1 species
GGGUUGUGAGGUUAAGCGACUAAGCGUACACGGUGGAUGCCCUGGCAGUCAGAGGCGAUGAAGGACGUGCUAAUCUGCGAUAAGCGUCGGUAAGGUGAUAUGAACCGUUAUAACCGGCGAUUUCCGAAUGGGGAAACCCAGUGUGAUUCGUCACACUAUCAUUAACUGAAUCCAUAGGUUAAUGAGGCGAACCGGGGGAACUGAAACAUCUAAGUACCCCGAGGAAAAGAAAUCAACCGAGAUUCCCCCAGUAGCGGCGAGCGAACGGGGAGCAGCCCAGAGCCUGAAUCAGUGUGUGUGUUAGUGGAAGCGUCUGGAAAGGCGCGCGAUACAGGGUGACAGCCCCGUACACAAAAAUGCACAUACUGUGAGCUCGAUGAGUAGGGCGGGACACGUGGUAUCCUGUCUGAAUAUGGGGGGACCAUCCUCCAAGGCUAAAUACUCCUGACUGACCGAUAGUGAACCAGUACCGUGAGGGAAAGGCGAAAAGAACCCCGGCGAGGGGAGUGAAAAAGAACCUGAAACCGUGUACGUACAAGCAGUGGGAGCACAGAGCAAUCUGUGUGACUGCGUACCUUUUGUAUAAUGGGUCAGCGACUUAUAUUCUGUAGCAAGGUUAACCGAAUAGGGGAGCCGAAGGGAAACCGAGUCUUAACUGGGCGUUAAGUUGCAGGGUAUAGACCCGAAACCCGGUGAUCUAGCCAUGGGCAGGUUGAAGGUUGGGUAACACUAACUGGAGGACCGAACCGACUAAUGUUGAAAAAUUAGCGGAUGACUUGUGGCUGGGGGUGAAAGGCCAAUCAAACCGGGAGAUAGCUGGUUCUCCCCGAAAGCUAUUUAGGUAGCGCCUCGUGAAUUCAUCUCCGGGGGUAGAGCACUGUUUCGGCAAGGGGGUCAUCCCGACUUACCAACCCGAUGCAAACUGCGAAUACCGGAGAAUGUUAUCACGGGAGACACACGGCGGGUGCUAACGUCCGUCGUGAAGAGGGAAACAACCCAGACCGCCAGCUAAGGUCCCAAAGUCAUGGUUAAGUGGGAAACGAUGUGGGAAGGCCCAGACAGCCAGGAUGUUGGCUUAGAAGCAGCCAUCAUUUAAAGAAAGCGUAAUAGCUCACUGGUCGAGUCGGCCUGCGCGGAAGAUGUAACGGGGCUAAACCAUGCACCGAAGCUGCGGCAGCGACGCUUAUGCGUUGUUGGGUAGGGGAGCGUUCUGUAAGCCUGCGAAGGUGUGCUGUGAGGCAUGCUGGAGGUAUCAGAAGUGCGAAUGCUGACAUAAGUAACGAUAAAGCGGGUGAAAAGCCCGCUCGCCGGAAGACCAAGGGUUCCUGUCCAACGUUAAUCGGGGCAGGGUGAGUCGACCCCUAAGGCGAGGCCGAAAGGCGUAGUCGAUGGGAAACAGGUUAAUAUUCCUGUACUUGGUGUUACUGCGAAGGGGGGACGGAGAAGGCUAUGUUGGCCGGGCGACGGUUGUCCCGGUUUAAGCGUGUAGGCUGGUUUUCCAGGCAAAUCCGGAAAAUCAAGGCUGAGGCGUGAUGACGAGGCACUACGGUGCUGAAGCAACAAAUGCCCUGCUUCCAGGAAAAGCCUCUAAGCAUCAGGUAACAUCAAAUCGUACCCCAAACCGACACAGGUGGUCAGGUAGAGAAUACCAAGGCGCUUGAGAGAACUCGGGUGAAGGAACUAGGCAAAAUGGUGCCGUAACUUCGGGAGAAGGCACGCUGAUAUGUAGGUGAAGUCCCUCGCGGAUGGAGCUGAAAUCAGUCGAAGAUACCAGCUGGCUGCAACUGUUUAUUAAAAACACAGCACUGUGCAAACACGAAAGUGGACGUAUACGGUGUGACGCCUGCCCGGUGCCGGAAGGUUAAUUGAUGGGGUUAGCGCAAGCGAAGCUCUUGAUCGAAGCCCCGGUAAACGGCGGCCGUAACUAUAACGGUCCUAAGGUAGCGAAAUUCCUUGUCGGGUAAGUUCCGACCUGCACGAAUGGCGUAAUGAUGGCCAGGCUGUCUCCACCCGAGACUCAGUGAAAUUGAACUCGCUGUGAAGAUGCAGUGUACCCGCGGCAAGACGGAAAGACCCCGUGAACCUUUACUAUAGCUUGACACUGAACAUUGAGCCUUGAUGUGUAGGAUAGGUGGGAGGCUUUGAAGUGUGGACGCCAGUCUGCAUGGAGCCGACCUUGAAAUACCACCCUUUAAUGUUUGAUGUUCUAACGUUGACCCGUGAUCCGGGUUGCGGACAGUGUCUGGUGGGUAGUUUGACUGGGGCGGUCUCCUCCUAAAGAGUAACGGAGGAGCACGAAGGUUGGCUAAUCCUGGUCGGACAUCAGGAGGUUAGUGCAAUGGCAUAAGCCAGCUUGACUGCGAGCGUGACGGCGCGAGCAGGUGCGAAAGCAGGUCAUAGUGAUCCGGUGGUUCUGAAUGGAAGGGCCAUCGCUCAACGGAUAAAAGGUACUCCGGGGAUAACAGGCUGAUACCGCCCAAGAGUUCAUAUCGACGGCGGUGUUUGGCACCUCGAUGUCGGCUCAUCACAUCCUGGGGCUGAAGUAGGUCCCAAGGGUAUGGCUGUUCGCCAUUUAAAGUGGUACGCGAGCUGGGUUUAGAACGUCGUGAGACAGUUCGGUCCCUAUCUGCCGUGGGCGCUGGAGAACUGAGGGGGGCUGCUCCUAGUACGAGAGGACCGGAGUGGACGCAUCACUGGUGUUCGGGUUGUCAUGCCAAUGGCACUGCCCGGUAGCUAAAUGCGGAAGAGAUAAGUGCUGAAAGCAUCUAAGCACGAAACUUGCCCCGAGAUGAGUUCUCCCUGACUCCUUGAGAGUCCUGAAGGAACGUUGAAGACGACGACGUUGAUAGGCCGGGUGUGUAAGCGCAGCGAUGCGUUGAGCUAACCGGUACUAAUGAACCGUGAGGCUUAACCUUACAACGCCGAAGGUGUUU